CGCUUCUUUUUCCACCGGAGCUUGCUCCACCGGAAAAAGAAGAGUGGCGAACGGGUGAGUAACACGUGGGUAACCUGCCCAUCAGAAGGGGAUAACACUUGGAAACAGGUGCUAAUACCGUAUAACAAUCAAAACCGCAUGGUUUUGAUUUGAAAGGCGCUUUCGGGUGUCGCUGAUGGAUGGACCCGCGGUGCAUUAGCUAGUUGGUGAGGUAACGGCUCACCAAGGCCACGAUGCAUAGCCGACCUGAGAGGGUGAUCGGCCACAUUGGGACUGAGACACGGCCCAAACUCCUACGGGAGGCAGCAGUAGGGAAUCUUCGGCAAUGGACGAAAGUCUGACCGAGCAACGCCGCGUGAGUGAAGAAGGUUUUCGGAUCGUAAAACUCUGUUGUUAGAGAAGAACAAGGAUGAGAGUAACUGUUCAUCCCUUGACGGUAUCUAACCAGAAAGCCACGGCUAACUACGUGCCAGCAGCCGCGGUAAUACGUAGGUGGCAAGCGUUGUCCGGAUUUAUUGGGCGUAAAGCGAGCGCAGGCGGUUUCUUAAGUCUGAUGUGAAAGCCCCCGGCUCAACCGGGGAGGGUCAUUGGAAACUGGGAGACUUGAGUGCAGAAGAGGAGAGUGGAAUUCCAUGUGUAGCGGUGAAAUGCGUAGAUAUAUGGAGGAACACCAGUGGCGAAGGCGGCUCUCUGGUCUGUAACUGACGCUGAGGCUCGAAAGCGUGGGGAGCAAACAGGAUUAGAUACCCUGGUAGUCCACGCCGUAAACGAUGAGUGCUAAGUGUUGGAGGGUUUCCGCCCUUCAGUGCUGCAGCUAACGCAUUAAGCACUCCGCCUGGGGAGUACGACCGCAAGGUUGAAACUCAAAGGAAUUGACGGGGGCCCGCACAAGCGGUGGAGCAUGUGGUUUAAUUCGAAGCAACGCGAAGAACCUUACCAGGUCUUGACAUCCUUUGACCACUCUAGAGAUAGAGCUUCCCCUUCGGGGGCAAAGUGACAGGUGGUGCAUGGUGGUCGUCAGCUCGUGUCGUGAGAUGUUGGGUUAAGUCCCGCAACGAGCGCAACCCUUAUUGUUAGUUGCCAUCAUUCAGUUGGGCACUCUAGCAAGACUGCCGGUGACAAACCGGAGGAAGGUGGGGAUGACGUCAAAUCAUCAUGCCCCUUAU
rnacentral:rRNA from 1 species